rnacentral:rRNA from 1 species
UACAGAGGGGGCAAGCGUUGUCCGGAUUUACUGGGCGUACAGCGCGCGCAGGCGGCCUCGUAUGUGACCGGUGACAUCCUCGGGCUCAACCCGAGGCGGCCCGGUUAGACAGCGGAACUGGAGGCAGGGAGAGGGAUGUGGAAUACCCGGUGGAGCGGUGAAAUGCAUAGAGAUCGGGUGGAACACCAGCGGCGAAGGCGGCAUCCUGGCCCUGACCUGACGCUGAGGCGCGAUAGCGUGGGGAGCAAACGGG